GACGAACGCUGGCGGCGUGCCUAAUACAUGCAAGUCGAGCGAGCGGAACUAACAGAUUUACUUCGGUAAUGACGUUAGGAAAGCGAGCGGCGGAUGGGUGAGUAACACGUGGGGAACCUGCCCCAUAGUCUGGGAUACCACUUGGAAACAGGUGCUAAUACCUGAUAAGAAAGCAGAUCGCAUGAUCAGCUUUUAAAAGGCGGCGUAAGCUGUCGCUAUGGGAUGGCCCCGCGGUGCAUUAGCUAGUUGGUAAGGUAAAGGCUUACCAAGGCGAUGAUGCAUAGACGAGUCGAGAGACUGAUCGGCCACAUUGGGACUGAGACACGGCCCAAACUCCUACGGGAGGCAGCAGUAGGGAAUCUUCCACAAUGGACGCAAGUCUGAUGGAGCAACGCCGCGUGAGUGAAGAAGGUUUUCGGAUCGUAAAGCUCUGUUGUUGGUGAAGAAGGAUAGAGGUAGUAACUGGACUUUAUUUGACGGUAAUCAACCAGAAAGUCACGGCUAACUACGUG
rnacentral:rRNA from 1 species